ACAUGCAAGUCGAGGGGAAACGAUAUUGGAAGCUUGCUUCCGAUAGGCGUCGACCGGCGCACGGGUGAGUAACGCGUAUCCAACCUGCCCUUUACUCGGGGAUAGCCUUGCGAAAGUAAGAUUAAUACCCGAUGGCAUUGGAUUCCCGCAUGGGGCUUCAAUUAAAGGUGUGAACUGGUAAAGGAUGGGGAUGCGUUCCAUUAGGCAGUAGGCGGGGUAACGGCCCACCUAACCGACGAUGGAUAGGGGUUCUGAGAGGAAGGUCCCCCACAUUGGAACUGAGACACGGUCCAAACUCC
rnacentral:rRNA from 1 species